UACGGAGGGGGCUAGCGUUUUUCGGAAUUACUGGGCGUAAAGCGCACGUAGGCGGACUGUUAAGUCGGGGGUGAAAUCCUGGGGCUCAACCUCAGAAUUGCCUUCGAUACUGGCAGCCUUGAGUACGGGAGAGGUGAGUGGAAUUCCCAGUGUAGAGGUGAAAUUCGUAGAUAUUGGGAAGAACACCAGUGGCGAAGGCGGCUCACUGGCCCGUAACUGACGCUGAGGUGCGAAAGCGUGGGGAGCAAACAGG
rnacentral:rRNA from 1 species